GACAGAGGGUGCAAACGUUGUUCGGAAUUACUGGGCGUAAAGCGCGUGUAGGCGGCCCUGCAAGUCGGGUGUGAAAUCCCACGGCUCAACCGUGGAAGUGCACUCGAAACUGCUUGGCUUGAGUCCGGGAGAGGUGAGUGGAAUUCCCAGUGUAGCGGUGAAAUGCGUAGAUAUUGGGAGGAACACCAGUGGCGAAGGCGGCCUUCUGGACCAGUACUGACGCUCAUGCACGAAAGCGUGGGGAGCAAACAGG
rnacentral:rRNA from 1 species